rnacentral:rRNA from 1 species
UACAGAGGUCUCAAGCGUUGUUCGGAUUCAUUGGGCGUAAAGGGUGCGUAGGCGGCGCGGUAAGUCGGAUGUCGAAAUCUCGGAGCUUAACUUCGAAACUGCAUUCGAUACUGCCGUGCUUGAGGACUGGAGAGGAGACUGGAAUUUACGGUGUAGCGGUGAAAUGCGUAGAGUAUCGUAAGGAAGACCAGUGGCGAAGGCGGGUCUCUGG